GUAGACCUUGUACACGAUGCCAUCUCGGGCGCUGUGUAUUUUUCCUCAUUGUGGCUCUUUUGAGCGACGCUGUGGGCCUGGGCCUUUUGUUACUGGGGAUCUUUGCUACCCUAAACUACUGGGACUUCUUUGUCUACACAGGAUCUCUGAUCCUGGCUCUGAGCCUACUGUUCUGGCUGGCCUGGUAUUCCUUCAAUAUCGAGGUACCUCUUGAAAAGCUGGACUUUUAGUGUGCCCAUGGACAAGAGGGAUGCAGGUGGCAUAUGCUGAUGUGAACCUGAGGACCCUGGACAUGAAGCCCCCACACAGAAUGCCACUAAGACCAGGUCCCACUCAUGCUUCCAACUCAGAACAAAGCACUCAAAGCUCCAGUUUACAGAUGGAAGAAAUCUGAGUCUCAGAUCUGUUUAAAGUACUCCAAGAGAAAUUGCAUGGGUCUGUCUGGCCCAGAAGAAUCAAAUCAAGGUAUGCAGUCUUUGCAGCACACCCUCCGAUAGUAUCCAAGAGGGACCCAGAUGCUGCGAUGACGGAGCCUUCACAUCACCCACCAGGAUAGCCGAGAAUGACUGUGAAUACCAGGACUCUCUCUGGAGCCCAAUCUCCCCGUGCCAAACCACUGAUACUGCUGCCAGCACCCCAGAAGUUUGUGGAGGGCAGAGGAGCCAUGAAGUUCCACCAGUGGGGCUUUUAUAGGAACCACUCCACUCCUGGCUUAGAUACCAAAGAAACCUCUGGUCAAAGUCUUUUCAAAGAACUGCCAACUGAAAUCGGGGUCUCCCGUGAGCAUG
ensembl:lincRNA